GACGAACGCUGGCGGCGUGCCUAAUACAUGCAAGUCGAGCGGAUGGAUGGGAGCUUGCUCCCUGAAGUCAGCGGCGGACGGGUGAGUAACACGUGGGCAACCUGCCCCUAAGAUCGGGAUAACUUCGGGAAACCGGAGCUAAUAUCGGAUAUGAUCAUCCCUCACAUGAGGAUGAUGGAAAGACGGUUUCGGCUGUCACUUAGGGAUGGGCCCGCGGCGCAUUAGCUAGUUGGUGAGGUAACGGGUCACCAAGGCGACGAUGCGUAGCCGACCGGGGGGGGUGAUCGGCCACACUGGGACGGAGACACGGCCCAGACUCCUACGGGAGGCAGCAGUAGGGAAUCUUCCGCAAUGGACGAAAGUCUGACGGAGCAACGCCGCGUGAGUGAAGAAGGUUUUCGGUUCGUAAAACUCUGUUGUCAGGGAAGAACAAGUACCAUAGUAACUGAUGGUACCUUGACGGUACCUGACCAGAAAGCCACGGCUAACUACGUGCCAGCCGCCGCAGUAAGAC
rnacentral:rRNA from 1 species